UCAAAGGGGGAUAAAAGCAAAAGAUACAUAUAUCACAUACAUUCUAUGAUUCUUUUAUUUAAUUGAUGAACACAUUACACACAUGCUGUAUUUUAUCAGAUCAACAGCGGCAGAUUUUUUUCCCCUUAACCUGCAGAGUUUUUGAUCAGUCCAUCAUACUUUUUUCUUGAACGACACUUUCGUCACUUGUUAUUUAUCAUAUAAGUGACUAAAAGUUGAAAACAAGAGUAUAGACAAUUUCAAAGACAAAAGACACACAACAACAACAAUUACAAGAAGAGCACUGGAUUGCUAGCGACUAUUUAUUUAUUACAAACACAGGACUAUGUUACUUUGUUAAUACGAGGUUUCACUAUGUAUAAAGUCUGCCACUUGUCCGGUGCUCUGGAAGGUCGGAAGGAGAAGUAAUACCGAAAUCACAUGCCCAUAAUAGCAUCACCAACAAGUGGCCCACAGGUCUUACUAAAAUUAUAACAUUCACUACACAGCCAACCACUAGAGCAAUCAUCCCUGGUAUUACAAGGUUUCCCACAAGUUGCAUCAUAUUGUUCUUGAAAUAGUUUUGUUGCAAUUGGUAAUACAUCUUUAGGUAGAUCUCUUAGGGCCAUCACAUGAAUUUUCGUGGAGCAAGCUGCAAAUCAUAAUCAAAAUUCAAAAUUGAAUUUCGUAAAAAUAAUAGUCUCUUAUGAUGCACUUUGACUGAGCAAGGAGUUUAAGAAUUAAAAAAACUUGUGGUAUAAAAUAAAUCAUAAUAUUUGUAUGACUAUAAAAUUAUUUCAUUAAGAGUAAAACAAAAAAAGUUAAAGUUAAAUUAUUCGCAUAAAUAGGGACGGAGGAUGAAAUGACUUACCAGCAAUAACCACAAGGAGAGUGGUGAAAAUGAUAGCGAGUUUAUAUGAGAAACCCUUUUCAGCCAUUGUAAUACUGAAGUUAAACUUCAAGGUUGAGAGACUUAUAGUACAAUAUAGACGCGUUUCCUUCCUUUUACGAAAGUCGUAUUUAU
rnacentral:lncRNA from 1 species